CGCUUUCUCCGGUGAGAUACAUUCAGUCUCUUGCGAAUUGAAGGGAAAUUAUGAAACAGAGAGACGAAAGAUACAAUUAUUUUAUUGGUGAAUUUUUGGGGGAAGCUCGGCUUCCCUUGACUCCAUGAAUACACGCAACUACCCCCUCCCACCAUUGCUGUUGGCAGUUGCCUUGUUGGUGAGGUCGCUCAUCAUCACCAAACAGAUGUGUCCAGGAGCUUUCAGUGCCCAUCUCCCUCAGUUUGACAGAGGCUUCUUCGUAAACCAGAGUUUGUCUGCGUCUGCUCUGUCAAUGGAGGGACAGUCCACAUCACUUCUGCCUCCCAAUGGAAUUGUGGUUGAGUAUUGUGACUCCAAACCAUCCAUCCUGGCCUCCCUCUGUCAAGUCUCCCAACCAUGAGUCCCUCUCUCAUGCCCUGAACCUGAACUCUUUGCUGUCUAAGGAGGCCACACAAACACCUUGGCUCACCAUACCUGUGGAGAGCAAGUCCUCUACUCCCACUGAGCCAGUGCUCCUCCAGAAACCCAAACUAGCCUGCCCAUUGGACCUGUCCUAUGUUGAUCUGACUGCCUCACAGGUUGCCUUGGAGGUCUCGCUAAUCAAACCCGAGACUAACAGUCCCAAACCGAUCCUUGAAUCAAGCACGUUGGAGUCGACCUGGAGUCCCAAGUUCCAGUCUGCACCACUGUCCCUGGCUGAGAUCUCCCUGAUCUGGUCAGGAACACCCCCAUAUGCCAAUAACACAUAGGAGAACCAGAGGUCCUGGAGAUAGGCCACUAUGGGUUCCAGCCUGAGCCAGACCGCAAGCUGAACAAGCCAAAGUGGGCAUGUGACAGUGCUGUACUGAAAAGCUGAGACAAAGGGACACAAGCAAGAAGAAGAAGUAUGAAGAAAAUGUUUAUUUUACAAUCUAUUAUAAUAAAGUUUUGUAUUUAUUAAAUCAA